AUUGAACGCUGGCGGCAGGCCUAACACAUGCAAGUCGAGCGGUAACAGGAGGAAAGCUUGCUUUCUUUGCUGACGAGCGGCGGACGGGUGAGUAAUGCCUGGGAAUAUGCCUUGAUGUGGGGGAUAACUAUUGGAAACGAUAGCUAAUACCGCAUAAUGCCUACGGGCCAAAGAGGGGGACCUUCGGGCCUCUCGCGUCAAGAUUAGCCCAGGUGGGAUUAGCUGGUUGGUGGGGUAACGGCUCACCAAGGCGACGAUCCCUAGCUGGUCUGAGAGGAUGAUCAGCCACACUGGAACUGAGACACGGUCCAG
rnacentral:rRNA from 1 species